GGCGGGCAUAGGUGGCGACGCUGGCGUCGGCGCUAUAGAUGCCGGCCUGCGGGUCGUUCGGUACGGUCUGUUCGCCG
rnacentral:tRNA from 2 species